rnacentral:rRNA from 1 species
UACGAAGGGGGCGAGCGUUGUUCGGAUUUACUGGGCGUAAAGGGCGCGCAGGCGGCCACAUUUGUCAGGCGUGAAAGCCCCGGGCUUAACCUGGGAAUUGCAUUUGAGACUGCAUAGCUAGGGUGCGGAAGAGGGAAGCGGAAUUUCCGGUGUAGCGGUGAAAUGCGUAGAUAUCGGAAGGAACACCAGUGGCGAAAGCGGCUUCCUGGUCCAGCACCGACGUUCAGGCACGAAAGCGUGGGGAGCAAACAGG